rnacentral:tRNA from 1 species
GCCCAGGUGGCGGAGUGGUAUACGCGGCAGCCUGAGAUGCUGUUGGUCCGAGCGGGCCAUGGGGGUUCGAUUCCCCCUCUGGGCA